rnacentral:rRNA from 1 species
UUGACCUCAAAUCAGGUAGGAUUACCCGCUGAACUUAAGCAUAUCAAUAAGCGGAGGAAAAGAAACUAACAAGGAUUCCCCUAGUAACUGCGAGUGAAGCGGGAAGAGCUCAAAUUUGAAAUCUGACGGUUGUUGACCGUCCGAGUUGUAAUCUAGAGAAGUGUUACCUGUGCUGGACCGUGUACAAGUCUUCUGGAAUGGAGCAUCAUAGAGGGUGAGAAUCCCGUCUUUGACAUGGACUACCUGUACGUUGUGGUACGCUCUCAAAGAGUCGAGUUGUUUGGGAAUGCAGCUCAAAAUGGGUGGUAAAUGCCAUCUAAAGCUAAAUAUUGGCGAGAGACCGAUAGCGAACAAGUACCGUGAGGGAAAGAUGAAAAGAACUUUGGAAAGAGAGUUAAACAGUACGUGAAAUUGCUGAAAGGGAAACGCUUGAAGUCAGUCACGUCGGCUAGAAAUCAGCCUUGCUUCUGCUUGGUGUACUUUCUGGUUGAUGGGUCAGCAUCAAUUUUGACCAUUGGAUAAAGUCUCUGGGAAUGUGGCAUCUUUUUUUAGAUGUGUUAUAGCCCAUUGUCGCAUACGGUGGUUGGGAUUGAGGAACUCAGCAUGCCCUGCAAGGGGCCAGGUUUCGACCAUGUUCAUGCUUAGGAUGCUGGCAUAAUGGCUUCAAUCGA